rfam:Dipodomys ordii contig_51584, whole genome shotgun sequence.
GGGAAUGUGGCUUAGUGGUAGAGUGCUUGCCUAGCAUGCAUGAAGCCCUGGGUUCGAUUCCUCAGUACUA